CACUCGUGGCGAAAGCGAGCUACUGGACAUUUACUGACGCUGAGGCUCGAAGGCUAGGGUAGCGAAAGGGAUUAGAUACCCCUGUAGUCCUAGCAGUAAACGGUGUGCGCUUGGUGUGAGGGGAUUCGACCCCCCUUGUGCCGGAGCUAACGCGUUAAGCGCACCGCCUGGGAAGUACGGUCGCAAGACUAAAACUCAAAGAAAUUGACGGGGACCCGCACAAGCGGUGGAGUAUGUGGCUUAAUUCGAUGCAACGCGAAGAACCUUACCAAGGCUUGACAUGCAUCUCUAAGCGCGUGAAAGCGCGUGACCCUUCGGGGGAUUUGCACAGGUGCUGCAUGGCCGUCGUCAGCUCGUGUCGUGAGAUGUUGGGUUAAGUCCCGCAACGAGCGCAACCCUUGUGAAUAGUUGCCAGCGGGUCAUGCCGGGAACUCUAUUCAGACUGCCCAGAUCAACUGGGAGGAAGGUGGGGACGACGUCAGGUCAGUAUGGCCCUUACGCCUUGGGCUGCACACGUACUACAAUGCCCAGUACAAUGAGAACCGAGACCGCGAGGUGGAGGAAAUCUGCAAAACUGGGCCCAGUUCGGAUUGGAGGCUGCAACCCGCCUCCAUGAAGUUGGAAUCGCUAGUAAUGGCACAUCAGCAACGGUGCCGUGAAUACGUUCCCGGGUCUUGUACACACCGCCCGUCACAUCAUGGAAGCCGGUCGCACCCGAAGUGCCUGCGCCAACCCGCAAGGGAGGCAGGGUCCUAAGGUGAGGCUGGUAACUGGGAUGAAGUCGUAACAAGGUACCCGUA
rnacentral:rRNA from 1 species